rnacentral:lncRNA from 1 species
AUUCAGGCAUCUAAGAAUGUUCUCUAGGACAUCCCAGAAAGAUGUGAAGGUCCCGAAAGAUUACACAGAAGAAUAUAGACGAUCAUUUGGCAUCCUUGUUGUGCACCGUAUGUCUCAUUUCAGAACAUGAAACUAUUAGAUGCUUCACCCAAAUUCAUUGUCUGAUCUUCAACAUUCUGGUACAGGAUGUACACAGGCGAGCCUCAGUGAAGACCCUGGAGUAAAAGAACAGCUGCAAGUCCCUUCUAAUGCCCUUUUUGGCUGGUAUCAUGGCUUUGCAACAGCAAUUUCACUUACAGUGCCGGCUUCUGGGAUCAGCUGAAAAGAAUCUGAAUGCCGUGACUCAAAGACUACCUCUGAAAAAAUGUAUGUAUAACUGAACUCUCUGCUUAAACACUUCAGGAACAGCCAUUUUAGGACCUGCUAUUGUUCAGGCUAUACUUUAGAGAGAUUUUAAUGCUAAUUUUUGGGAAGCUGGAUGAUCCCUGUAAUAGUCUAGUUUCAAAAUUUGGGGAAAGAAACUUCAGAGGAGCCUAAUUAUGAAGGAUGGGCAUAGAAGAAUUUAAGUAAAAAUAUUAGUAAUCUCCAAUUCUGUUCUUUCCCUUAUGGGCUUUGAAGCAGCCUAAGCAAGACACACCAACAUUCUAUCACACAGUAUUCAUGUUUGUAGUGCAAGACUAUCAUUAGUGUGCAACAGAAACAUAUUAACAUCUCCCAUUAUAUUUUGGAAGGCAUCUGAGACAAUCAUCUUACUCGAUUUGUAUGUGCUUGCAAAGAGCAUACUUGCUGUUUACUAAGCAAUACGGCUGACUUAACAUUCAUUGAUAUGCUUUAUCCCAAGCAGGGUACUGUUACAGCAGGCUUGUAAUUCGAUGUUAUUUGUUCCAUCCCUCCUCCUUUCUGAAUUCAGAUGACAUGGUUGCAAGAUGCAUCCAUGCUGUUCCAGAGUAAAAGCAAUAUCCGCAAUGAUCCUCAAGUCCCAUUGAUUUUGCCAGAGCUAUUUAUACUUAUGCUGGGCACAUGCUUGAGUAUCUUGCUAAAUUAAGAUGCUAAGCCACUACAGUCACCCAUUACUUUCUUUUAUUCUUGCAUAAAACCACAAAACUUCUUAAAUCUGAUAUUUAAGCAUGAUUUUUAAGAUGCAGACAUUUGGGACAGCUUCUAUUAUAAAUGUAUCAUUAAGUAAUUCAGUGACUGGAGUAUUAUGCAGUUAUCCUAGGCAGUUAAUAGAUUUACUCAGCUGGUACGGCAACCCACACAUUAUUCUCUACUAACUUCGCAGCUGCUGAGUCAAUGUCAUAAAUCAUUCAUCUCUACCAUUA